rnacentral:rRNA from 1 species
ACAGCAGCAGCCGCGGUAAUACAGAGGGUGCGAGCGUUAAUCGGAUUUACUGGGCGUAAAGCGUGCGUAGGCGGCUUUUUAAGUCGGAUGUGAAAUCCCUGAGCUUAACUUAGGAAUUGCAUUCGAUACUGGGAAGCUAGAGUAUGGGAGAGGAUGGUAGAAUUCCAGGUGUAGCGGUGAAAUGCGUAGAGAUCUGGAGGAAUACCGAUGGCGAAGGCAGCCAUCUGGCCUAAUACUGACGCUGAGGUACGAAAGCAUGGGGAGCAAACAGGAUUAGAUACCCGCGUAGUCCCUGUCUCUUAUAC